rnacentral:tRNA from 1 species
CCGUAGUGUGUAGUGGUUAGCAUUGAAGCCUUCCAUCUCUUCGGAGCGAAUCAGCUUUAGUCCGGGGUUCGAAUCCCCGACAACGCA